GAAACCGGCGAACGGGUGCGUAACACGUGAGGAACCUGCCCCGAAGACCGGGAUAGCCCGAGGAAACUCGGAUUAAUACCGGAUACCCUCUUUGGACCACAUGGUCGAUUGAGGAAAUGGUCCGCCGCUUCGGGAUGGCCUCGCGGCCUAUCAGCUUGUUGGUGAGGUAAUGGCUCACCAAGGCCGAGACGGGUAGCUGGUCUGAGAGGACGAUCAGCCACACUGGGACUGAGACACGGCCCAGACUCCUACGGGAGGCAGCAGCAGGGAAUAUUGCACAAUGGGCGGAAGCCUGAUGCAGCGACACCGCGUGCGGGAUGAAGGCCUUCGGGUUGUAAACCGCUUUCAGGAGGGACGAAAAUGACGGUACCUCCAGAAGAAGGCCCGGCCAACUACGUGCCAGCAGCCGCGGUAAUACGUAGGGGCCAAACGUUGUCCGGAUUUAUUGGGCGUAAAGGGCUCGUAGGCGGUUCAGCAAGUCGGUCGUGAAAGCCCGGGGCUCAACCCCGGGACGCCGGUCGAAACUGUUGUGACUAGGGUCCGGUAGAGGUGAGUGG
rnacentral:rRNA from 1 species